GAGGUUGCAAGUUUCUAUCCUUUCCUUAUUCAACUAAUGAGGUAGUUCGAUUAUCUAUUUUUUGUGGGCAAUCAGUUAUUUUGUGAUCUUUUUGAGCAUAGCCAAAGCAUGCACCAAUGUUCCAACGACAAUCACUUAUUGUAUAAUUUUCACCACAUCAAAAAUACUUAACGUUAUCAGAUGAUCUAUAAUUAUCACUCACUAACCUCUUAUUUGCACUCCCAAUAUGUUUACCACUCUAUCCUUGGG
rnacentral:lncRNA from 1 species